ensembl:lncRNA
UCAGUAUAGAUCCAUUUCCAACUCUACAUGUUUCAGCUAAUAAUUGCAUGUCAGAUUUAGAAAUAAGCUGAGUUCUCAUCAGAAGAGCUGAAUCCUGGGAUACACUGAGAAUAUAUGCAUAUUCCCUUCCUAUAGAUCCCAUAUUCAUCAGAAAGGGAUAAUUACGGAGAAAACAAAAUUUGAGUGCAGUCACCCCCAUGCUCAUAUCAUUGGCUAUUGAAUUUUCCACUUUCUCUUUCCAACUGUAGUCUUGGAAAAAAUAUAAUAAUUCAAAACCAGUUCAGAACGAGCAUUAACAGAAUGCUGGUAUCUGUCAUACAAUUUUAACAUAGUCUGUGCACAUAGGAUGUUGAUAAUUGGCAGCCAUACAGUUAAUUUUCCAGCUUGUUUUUCUCUGAGGUGAUUCAGUGUUUUCUACACAGGAAUAUUGGAGUGGAGACAAAAAGCCAAAUGAAGUAUCCUCAUUACAGUGUAAAUAGAGAAAAAAAAAUCUGCAGUUCUAGGUGAAAGCAAGUCACCUUUGUUACCUUAAUUUAUCCUGCUGUUGGACAAAAGGACCUUGUGAGGGACAGAAUCAAAAACAGCCUUAUCUUAACUGCUUGGUCAAGUACCACUUAUGCCCAGGCUUCUCUCUGUCUCUCUCUGAAUGAGGAUGUUGGGAUAAGUGUGCCAAUGGGAGGCCAAAAAAGCCUCCCCAAGUCUUUAAGUUUUCUUUACCUUCAGAUCAGUUGGACUAGCUGAUGUACUAAAGCCACACAAAUCAGAUAACAUACAAAAGGAUCAUCCAGGAUGAUUCAGAUUCAUUCUUGUGAAAAAAACAGCUCUUCAAAUUAAAACAGAGGGAGAAAAGAGGAAGGAAGGGAGGAUCCCAAAAUAAGCUGAUAAAGCUCAAAUGUUUUCCAACCCUGCUCAUAGCAAUUAUUGUUAGGUUAGCUAUCCUUUUGGUGAGCUUCCUAGAGAAGAAGAAAGGAGUAAAAAAUACAUUUUAAGAAGCCUCCAUUCUUCUUUACGAGCUGCACUGAGAGAUAUGAUGAAGACAGAUUGGGAAAAAGCCCUACAGCAAACAUGCCAAAAUAUUUUCCAGUAUCUGUCCUGUUAAAGCAUCCAUUUUGUGAGUGAAUUCAAAGCAGAUGCAACUUCUUUGAUAAGUGACAAUUAAGGAGCUACUGAUGGAGACUACUACCUGCCUUGUGGUCACCUGAGAGCUGAUUGCUAGUAGGACCUUGAAGUAACAACCACAGCCCAACAGGUGUCAAAUCCCCUUUCUUCUCCUCCUUAAUUCGGGGUGAUUGUGAUGAGGGAAAGUUCCUUGUCAAAAUUCAUUGUGCUAAGAUUCAGAAAACCCUGUGGGUUAGGUUUCUUUCUUCUUGAGAUCUCCUUGGCAAGAAGCUUGCUUUGGCCAAGACCCAGGGAUUUCUAGCUAAUAAAUGAUUGCAUUGGAGGGACUGCUUACACUGUAGUCAUGCUAAUUAGGCUCAUACCAGCAAUUCAGGUCAGUUUAUAUUCUCAUCCUUAAUGCAGGACAGGUGGGUAGGAUUAUAUGAUGUAGUAUUUUCUUACUUGCAAAAUAAGUCAGUGAUAAUCUGGAAGGAAAUUUUUGUCAAAUUCUAGGCACUGAAAGUGUUUUGGGGGCAAAGUUGGAAUACCUGUCAUUUCUUGUUAUUGGCUACAUCUUUUG